rnacentral:rRNA from 1 species
UACGUAGGAGGCUAGCGUUGUCCGGAAUCAUUGGGCGUAAAGCGCGCGUAGGCGGCCAGAUAAGUCCGGUGUGAAAGUCACAGGCUCAACCUGUGAAUGCCGCUGGAAACUGUCUGGCUUGAGUCCGGAAGGGGCGAGUGGAAUUCCUGGUGUAGCGGUGGAAUGCGCAGAUAUCAGGAGGAACACCAACGGCGAAGGCAGCUCGCUGGGACGGUACUGACGCUGAGGCGCGAAAGCGUGGGGAGCGAACAGG